rnacentral:snRNA from 1 species
UGCUGGUGAUCUGGCUCUGACUUCUCUCACCCAACUGAUAGCCAGAGUUGAUGAGUCUGGUCUGACCGGUGAGGUGGCCGCUUCCUUCUGUCCUCAUUGCUCCCUGUGCAUCUUUGCUGUGUGCUGUGUGUUAGUAGAUAGAGGAGGCAGAGGAGGAGUGUUCCUUAGUCAAGGGUAUCCAAGUAGCUGUGCAACCCUGCUUUUAGUAGACUCUCCAAAGAUGCUUUCAAGGUCCAUUUGUAGGAGAAAGUUGGCAGUCAGGCUUCUGAGCCUCUAGACACAUUUAAAGAAGACGCUGUGAGAGAUACUCAGCAGUU